AGUAAACAAAGAAAAAGACAAAAAGCCAACGGAGCUGGCAGUGGUGGCACACGCCUUUAAUAACAGCACUCAUGGGCAGAGGCAGGUGGAUUUCUGAUUUCGAGGCCAGCCUGGUCUACAGAGUGAGUUCCAGGACAGCCAAGGCUACACAGAGAAACCCUGCCUCGAAAAACAAAACAAAACAAAACAACAACAACAAAGCCAAUGGAGGGAAAGAGGAUGACCAUUCCAAGGCUAACCUGGGCUACAGAGUGAGUUCAAGCCUACCCUGGGUCAUUUAAUGAGGUAUCAUCUCACAGUAUAAAGCAAAGGGCAGGCAAGAUGGCUUACCUGGUAAAGGCGCUUGCCACUAAGCUUGGUAACUUGAAGUCAAUCCCUGCACCCCACGUGUUGGAAGGGGAGAACAAACUCCCCCAAAUUGCUCUUUGAUCUCCACGUAGCCCCAUGGCAUGUGUCCCUGUCCCUACUAGAGAGAUAAAUGCAAUAAUAAAUAUACUUAGUUUAAAAAAUUAAAAUAAUUUAAAUAAAUAAAAUAACAUUUGAAAUAUAUAUGUAUAUAUAUGUGUGUGUAUAGAUAGAUAGAUAGAUAGAUAGAUAGAUAGAUAGAUAGAUAGAUAUAGAUAUAGCUAUAAAGAGAUGUGGGUACAGUCUGGGUGUAGAGUGCUUAAAGAGCACAUGAAAGACCCUAAGUUUAGUUCAGGACCACGAAAGUCAAAAUUGCACAAGCAGGCAAAAAAACCUAACUUUCUUUAUUCAAGAACUACAAUAACAAUGGAUAAUAAAUCCCUUUCCACCCAACCCAGCAGCCCAGCAUCAUGGGUCUGACUGCUCAUUCACUGGCAAGGGGUGACAUGAAAACUGCCGAUCUCCAGCUCUGUUAGAUGAGAAAAGUGCUGAACUUCACAGAGCUGCCGUUAGCUUGUAUGCAUUGGCAGCCCUGGGAGCGGGGUUCAGACGUGGUGCCCUAAGACCUAUUUGGUUUAGAUUAGACUGUAAAUAAGGUUGCAGUUUCUGAGUGGGCUCUAAACUGUGUGCAAAGGUAAAGAGUAGGUGGAUUAAGACAAAACAACCAGGCUUGAAAAAUGUACCCCCAGAGAAUCACAGAAUCCACAAAUACCCAAGAGCAAAGAGACUGAGAGCUGACUGUACUAGACUUUUAUGUGUUUUUAAAAUCACCAACAAUCCACAGCAUUGACGGCUGACCAUGUCCUUGUUUGGAGACAGUGGUUUUCCAGUAGACCAGAAAGUCUCCUGUUCAUUCUUGGUACAAAAAUAGCCAAGCGCUCCAUGUGUGGCUGUGCCUUCCUAGAUUCUAAACCAGUCAGCGUCCAUACACCAUUACUCAAUGAUUGAAGCUUUCCUGCCAACGUUGUCAAAGCCAGGGUGGGAAUUUCACUUUUCUGGAGUUCAAAGUGGGAUAGGCUUAAUUUUAUCCACUGUAAGUUCUCAGCACUGGCUGACUCAAACAUCUAUGCAGGAGCUAUGGGGUGGGGUUGGGGGAUGGGUUAGCUUAGGAAAGAAGUGACUGGGAGCAAGCAAGUUUUCCUCACCAAGGAGCUAUUAAGGAUUGGUAUUUAUAGCAUCUGGGCUGACUUGGUCAUUUGAGGAUCUUCACUCCUAUCCUCUGAAGUUUCCAACCAGGUCUAAUCCUGAAGGCCAUUGCCAUUGAACACCAUUAGUCCACAUUAAUGUUAUAUACUUUACAUUUUAUAUAAUGGUGUCCCCUGUGGUGCACCAAUGUGGUCCUUGCCACAACCCUGUGAGGUAAAGGCGGUGUCUAUCCUGAUAUGUAGCUGUGGGAUAUAAAAUGAAAGGUGGUAGGUUACUUUUGUGCAUGAUGGCCAUAGAAGGCAAGAGAACUCAACGUUGUUUGCGUUUUGGGCCCUUUGAGAAAUCUCAUUAUAGUCAUUCUACUAGGAUUACC
rnacentral:lncRNA from 1 species